rnacentral:lncRNA from 1 species
CGGCUUCGCCUCGUGCGGUGGCAACAGGACUAGGGGCACUGGAUCUGGAUGUUCCAGGCUGUUUGGUCAACUCCUUCUGAUGGGGAAAUCUGAGAAACGACGCAGGAAUCAAUGGUGGCAGGAAUCAACGGCGGCGGCCAACCUAAAUCCACAAACAACUACCUGGCCAACCGCAAGUUAGGACUACAGGUUGUCAAAUGAGGGAAGGGGAAGAGUAGUACACAGGUUCGGAGCGAGAUAGUGCAUAGCAAACAUAUAGCAAUCAACAAAAUCCCUACUGACAGUGUGCAGCUACCUACAACAUAUUUAGUUUGCACGAGCGCACUACACGACUACAACAUUGUAAGCAGUGCCUAGCAAAUCAGCAUGAACCAUUUCUGAAAAAUUGUACAGCUAGUUGACGCAACAGAUUCAGAUGUCAUACCUCUUAGUCCAACCAGGGGCAUGAGGGUUGACCCUGUACGUUAACUGCGGAUGAUGUCGGUGAAGCCCCUCGACGACGCCGCUCGCUGCAGUUCGCCCUCUCAGUACCACCGCCGCCAAUUUGCUGCCCGCAUCCAGAUCCAAUAUUCGAGUCCGCCUGAACCGCAGGGUUAGCUUGGUCUGUCGUCAACAACGCCAAAGGUACCGGAUCUGGAUUUCAAGACUGUCCUCGAACUCCUCACUGAGAGGGAACCUAAAAACAAGAAAUCAUGGCCGACGACCAGUGCUGGAAUCAGCUUUCUCGUACGGUAUGCUCGCAGAGAAAUAGAACGGUGAAUCGGCCAGAACUCCACGGAAGACAGCAACACUUACGGUCCACCGCGUCCAGCAAGAACUCAAGCCUGCAUCUUCCAUCAGCAAUCAGCC